rnacentral:rRNA from 1 species
CCACCCCUACGGGACGCAGCAGUGGGGAAUAUUGCACAAUGGGCGAAAGCCUGAUGCAGCAACGCCGCGUGAAGGAAGAAGGGUUUCGGCUCGUAAACUUCUAUUAACAGGGAAGAAAGAAAUGACGGUACCUGAAUAAGAGGCCCCGGCUAACUACGUGCCAGCAGCCGCGGUAAUACGUAGGGGGCAAGCGUUAUCCGGAAUUACUGGGGGUAAAGGGAGAGUAGGCGGCAUGGUAAGCCAGAUGUGAAAGCCUUGGGCUUAACUGGAGGACUGCAUUUG